rnacentral:misc_RNA from 1 species
GUGNCAGAGUAGCUAGUCUAACCUUCGGGAGGACGGUUACCACGGUGUGAUUCAUGACUGGGGUGAAGUCGUAACAAGGUAGCCGUAGGGGAACCUGCGGCUGGAUCACCUCCUUAAUCGACGACAUCAGCCUGCUGAUGAGCUCCCACACGAAUUGCUUGAUUCAUUGUCGAAGACG